CUUCCGUUAAUUGAUUAUGACGUACUUGUACUGAUUGAGAUUUUAACACGAAGUGAGUGGCGAACGGGUGAGUAACACGUGGGUAACCUGCCCAGAAGUAGGGGAUAACACCUGGAAACAGAUGCUAAUACCGUAUAACAGAGAAAACCGCAUGGUUUUCUUUUAAAAGAUGGCUCUGCUAUCACUUCUGGAUGGACCCGCGGCGUAUUAGCUAGUUGGUGAGGUAAAGGCUCACCAAGGCAGUGAUACGUAGCCGACCUGAGAGGGUAAUCGGCCACAUUGGGACUGAGACACGGCCCAGACUCCUACGGGAGGCAGCAGUAGGGAAUCUUCCACAAUGGACGCAAGUCUGAUGGAGCAACGCCGCGUGAGUGAAGAAGGGUUUCGGCUCGUAAAGCUCUGUUGUUAAAGAAGAACGUGGGUAAGAGUAACUGUUUACCCAGUGACGGUAUUUAACCAGAAAGCCACGGCUAACUACGUGCCAGCAGCCGCGGUAAUACGUAGGUGGCAAGCGUUAUCCGGAUUUAUUGGGCGUAAAGCGAGCGCAGGCGGUCUUUUAAGUCUAAUGUGAAAGCCUUCGGCUCAACCGAAGAAGUGCAUUGGAAACUGGGAGACUUGAGUGCAGAAGAGGACAGUGGAACUCCAUGUGUAGCGGUGAAAUGCGUAGAUAUAUGGAAGAACACCAGUGGCGAAAGCGGCUGUCUGGUCUGCAACUGACGCUGAGGCUCGAAAGCAUGGGUAGCGAACAGGAUUAGAUACCCUGGUAGUCCAUGCCGUAAACGAUGAUUACUAG
rnacentral:rRNA from 1 species